UACAGAGGUCCCGAGCGUUAAUCGGAAUUACUGGGCGUAAAGCGUGCGCAGGCGGCUAUGCAAGACAGAUGUGAAAUCCCCGGGCUCAACCUGGGAACUGCAUUUGUGACUGCAUGGCUAGAGUACGGUAGAGGGGGAUGGAAUUCCGCGUGUAGCAGUGAAAUGCGUAGAUAUGCGGAGGAACACCGAUGGCGAAGGCAAUCCCCUGGACCUGUACUGACGCUCAUGCACGAAAGCGUGGGGAGCAAACAGG
rnacentral:rRNA from 1 species